ACAGUACAAACUGAACAGGCGAUGGCCAACAGGCCACUUGCCGGGCCAUUAUGGCAGCAGAGAUACGGCAUCUGCGGGACAGU
rnacentral:ncRNA from 1 species